rnacentral:rRNA from 1 species
UACAGAGGGUGCGAGCGUUAAUCGGAAUUACUGGGCGUAAAGCGCGCGUAGGCGGCUUCGCAAGUCGGGUGUGAAAUCCCCAAGCUCAACUUGGGAACUGCAUUCGAGACUGCGUUGCUAGAGUAUGGGAGAGGGAAGUGGAAUUUCAGGUGUAGCGGUGAAAUGCGUAGAUAUCUGAAGGAACAUCAGUGGCGAAAAGCGACUUCCUGGACCAAUACUGACGCUCAUGUGCGAAAGCGUGGGGAGCAAACAGG